AGCGAACGCUGGCGGCAGGCCUAACACACGCAAGUCGAACGGCUCUUCGGAGCAGUGGCGGACGGGUGAGUAACGCGUGGGAACGUGCCCUUUGGUUCGGAACAACACAGGGAAACUUGUGCUAAUACCGGAUGAGCCCUUUGGGGGAAAGAUUUAUCGCCAUUGGAGCGGCCCGCGUUGGAUUAGGUAGUUGGUGGGGUAAAGGCCCACCAAGCCGACGAUCCAUAGCUGGUCUGAGAGGAUGAUCAGCCACACUGGGACUGAGACACGGCCCAGACUCCUACGGGAGGCAGCAGUGGGGAAUCUUGCGCAAUGGGCGAAAGCCUGACGCAGCCAUGCCGCGUGAAUGAUGAAGGUCUUAGGAUUGUAAAAUUCUUUCACCGGGGAAGAUAAUGACGGUACCCGGAGAAGAAGCCCCGGCUAACUUCGUGCCAGCCGCCGCCGUAAUAC
rnacentral:rRNA from 1 species